GUGCAAGGGAUGUGGGCAAUAAACAGGAGCUCCUGUACCCUUCGAGUGUUAAAACCUUGUUCAGCGUAACAGAGCUUGGACACUUCAGUGAAGUGAUUAGAAAUGCUGCACUACCAAGGAAUGUUCAAGUACACAGCUUUUACUACCAUGAAUAUUCAUGACUUCAGGCUUUGGAGGUGAAGUGCUCAGCUAAUUCAACAAAGUCAGCUUCAAAAUUGCACUUCUUUCUGCACUUCAGCAGUUUGUGAAGACAAAUUUAAGCAAUGAAUGUCUACACCUGAAUGAUGGAGGCAGAGAAAACACCAUUUUAGGGGACAACAGAUUUCAGUAUCGGAAGAGAAGGGACAUUUGGAAAUCCACCAGUGCUUGCUGCUUGAGGAAGGUGAGGCACACCGUGGGAUUUUCUCUCUCCUUCGGAAAGAAGCAGACCGUUGUCAGAAACUGAAUACCACACUGACUGUAACAGUGGAUUUGGUUUGCAGCUCCUUUGUUGUCUUUUAAUAACAAAAUAAUUAUAUUCCUAUAUUGAAGCGUCACAGCAAAAAGAAACUUGAAGCACGAAUUUAAAUAAAAUUAGCUUGUUAGUGGUGGUUUUUAGGAGUCUUAUUUUUUUCCCUCAGCUCCCAUCCUAUUUUUUUUUUAAAUUUCUCCAGGGCAUGUCAUAUAUAGUGAAAAAUCUCAAUGGAGGCCCACAGGUAUCACUGCUGUUUAGUCAGACUUCAAAUUGGGCUCUAAUGGUUUUAGAUAGAAGAGCAGAUGGAGAGGGUUUGUUCACUAGUCGGUGCCCUUGCCUCAGAGUUCACCUCAAGUUGUUUUCAGAAAUUCUCACUUCGUGCACAUUACUUAUUUAUAUCAUCACUUUUUUUUCCCACUUCAUAGAUAAUUGCUACUUAAUUGAUACUGCCUUUAUACAAGCCUCCACAAUAGAAAGCAACAAGACACACUGCUAAAUAGAGGAAU